UUUUUUUUUUCAGGACCCCAGGAAGAAUAGCUGCAGCAUGGCUGUAGCUAAUGGGGAUCCUUUGAAUAAAACUCAAACUCAAACUCAAACUAACAUUUGGAACUUCCUCCACUGGAAAUAAUGUAGAGGAGCACUAGUCCCCUCUGGUGGUGACAUGUGACAUCACACCUAAUGAGGGACCUUUCCAGUCCCUGAGAAAGUAACCAAUAUGUGUAAGAUCGCAGUGUCAAAUCUGUAAUGAAUUCUAAGAUGUGCGAUGCUUUUUAUUUCUUUCAUACUUUCCGUCCUGCGUCGGCACCUCUUCAAGGAUCCCCAAGUGGCAGAUUCCCCUCUGCCUGGCGGACAGGGGUGAUGCGGGGGAGGGAGAGCACCAGCGGCUGGUCUGCUUUGGCUAAGUGCUAAGCUGCCAUGAAUCUUCUGGAUCAGGCUUCUCCAACUGUUACAACCAGCAUCAAAGAUAUAGGGGGGCGAGGGUUUGAGGCACGUAUCUUUCUCUCUUUCAGGCGACCAAACCUGGGACAGACCUGCUACAUGAACAUCACCUUGCAGUGUCUCUUCCACCUGCCAACAUUCUGCGAGGACGUCAGGAGGCAGGAACAACACUGGGGUUUGGUCCCCUAUGCCAACCUGAUCAGAUAUUUUGCUGAUCUUCUACCUGCAACACAUAGUUCACUCGCAAAGCAGAAGACGACUUUGUUGAGAACCUAAUUCAUACGGUUUCGAAGCGGUUUCCUGAAGAUCAGCAGAAUUCGGCAAGCAUUUUCUGUUUAUCUCCUGUCAUCUGGGACACCCAUGAGUUCUUCAGCUGCCUGAUAUCUCAGCUAAAUGAGCUGGGGAAGCUAAUUCAGGCCUGGGAGACAACAGCCACGUACGCCUGUCCUGUGGAAGGAAACCUAUCGUUCGAGAUGCUGUGCCAGAGGACGUGUACCAGGUCACUACAUCAGUGACACCAUUAGCGUGGCAGAGAAGGGCUGGCUGUAUUUUAGCGAGCACGUAGUGACCAGAUCAGAAGAGGAGCAGGUGCUGAGAAAGAGGCAGAGCAGCGCGUACAUGCUGUUCUACACCCAGCAGGAGGACUUACACUGAAGACAGCUGAUGCCUCCAUAUUGGGGAUUAAUACUUGAAAAGUAGGUCCCUGUGUUAGGCGGCUGCAUGUACUUCCACGCUCGCUAAUGUUCUGUGGCGGCAAAACCAGGAAAAACAGUAACCGGCUCUGCUUAGGAGAGCAGAGCGAUGGGACAAACUUACAGAGUAAAAGCUGAAAAUAAAACAAACCAAUACACAACCAUGUAUAUCAGAUAUAAAUCUAAAUAUUAAAGUAUAGACAAAGUACAUUUUACCGUCUACGUACAGUGCUAAUUGCUGGCUGAAGCGCUA